rnacentral:lncRNA from 1 species
AUGUAAAAUUAGCUAAAUGAAACAACUGUUUUCUCACAUUUAGCUAUAUGUGACGAAGUCUAAAUGUAAAUGUAAAUAAUAAAUAUUAAAUAUAAAUGUAAAUGUUAUAUGUCUCGCCGAGUGUAAACUGAAUAUUCAUUAAUAUGCUAAUGAGCUCCCCCGCCUCACCCUCAAACAGUGCUGAUCCUGAAUCAGUGACGCUGACUCAGACACCUGAAACCGUGCGCAAAGCCCCGCCCACACCUGACUCGCGGUCAGUCGCCCAAGCUGGAGGGAAAGCCUGAGUGACUUUAAUCCAACAUGGCCGCCAGCCCCGGGUCCGUCCCGUUGGCAGAGAUAGAACGGGUGGUAACGGCAGGUGUACGGGCUGCGCUUCAGGCCGCUGUUCCCCAGCCACUACACGCUCCUCUAAUGCUGCAUUCACAGCCGUACUGUUCCUAAUGCCCUUCUCAGCAGAGACUUUGGGCCUCUGCUCUGUGAGGAAGAGCAUGAAGGCGUUCCUGGGCUUCCUGAUGUACGGCUGUGACGAUGGCUGGCCAUCAAGGUCUUCUCUUUCUACAGGGACAAAACAGGAACAAAAGUGAGGAGACCAAUGUGUGCGUGAGCGUGGACACAAGUAGGCUACAUUAUGACAUUAAAUACGAUCAUGAUUCAUCAUGAUUAGUCACAUAUUGUCCAAAAGCAGCAUCAGCAACUUACCUUGAUGUGGUGGGGAGGGGAGGAGCAGCAGCAGGAGGAGGAAGAGGAGGCUCAGGAGACACAGAUGUCCAUGUUGGACAGCAGCAGCCAUGUUUAAUCAUACUUUGUUUGUGUGAUUUACUUACGGUUCAAUAACAGAAACCAGGACCACGUUGUCCGGCAGCUUCACCACUGGAAGUUGAACCUGAGGACACAAAUGUGGAGGUGAUUAGACAAGUUGGUGUCCUCUGUCUGCUAAAGUGUCAUAAGGAUCCUGCUGAGGCUCAGGUGUUUUUGUCUCUGUCCCUGACCUCCACUUUGUGUCUUACCUGUCCCUGGCUGGCUCCGUCGUCCAGCUGCAGGUGGGCGUCCGGUGCAGCAGGCACAGGAGGAGGAGGAAGGGGGUCGACUGCACCAUCUGGAAACAGAUCCUGAAUCACUGCUUCAGGAGUGGAAACAGCCUCCGCCCACUCCAUCUCCUGCACCAUGCUGUCCAGUACAGGCUAGAGGUCCAUUUCAAACUGUGCAGGUUGUUAACGUCACCAAGAGCUCUACCGUCUCUACAGUCCCUGGGUCUCUGGUCUCUGUCACGCAGAGUGGAGUUCGGCACAAUACCCGCAGACACACACACAGGGUAUGUGCAUAAAUGUGCGAUGAAGUUGCACUUAUCACUCACUACUGUUGGUACUGACCAAGAAACUGACUGUAUGAAGAACGUUGCUCAGAUGUUAAGCUCCUCUGCAGCUGUGUUUUAUCCUUCUACCUCUCUGAUACUUGCACUGUUGCACUGUUGCACUGAUGCUGUUCUCCGCGUUACUCCAGAAACGGCGUCAUCAAAGGUACACCAAAGGUAUACCUUUGAUGACAUCACUGUUAUUUAAAAAAUGCAGAUCAUUAUAUUAAAAGCAUUCAUCUGUUUCAAGUCUAAGUCAUGGAAACCAAGUCAAAGUCGAGUCUUUUAUCAGUGUUAGUCAAGCAGGUCUCAAGUCCUCAAAUUUGAUUUGUGUGUUGAAUAGAUUUUUGGCGGGGAAAUGUAAGUGCUGCCUCCUGUAAUUGGAAGACAGUUGUUUGGCCAUGUGGACAGUCUGGUUCGGGGUGCGAUUGUUAGAAUUGGAACUUUCCCUUGUAGGCAGUAGGAACGUUUCUCCUUUUGGGAUUCGUUCGGGGGACUUUGUAGUGUUGCGGUGAAAGCGGUUCGAGCAGUUGUCUCGGGAGCACGUCACUAGAAGUUGGGGGGUCGCUGUUGUACAGUUGCCUUUCUCACUCUAGUGGUUCCUAGUGCAUAAAUACCCACUGUCAGUAGCCGCAUGAAGACUAGGGGAGAGCUUAGCAAGUUUUUGGCUAGGUAGUUAGCGGGAUUGUUUCAAUUCAUUGUGCAUCUCAGCAGUCAUUAAUGUGCUGUCAUGGCCACAGUUUCACAAUUAAACAAACUUGUCGUUGGCUGUCUGCUUUAUGGUUACACUAUUUGUUCUGUUGUAAAGAUGGCUUCCCUAUAUAAGUCUGAUUUAUCAGCAAAUAAAGAGGAUUUUUUAAAUUUAUGAACA